rnacentral:rRNA from 1 species
CCCUUAGAUGUUCUGGGCCGCACGCGUGCUACACUGAGUGGAUCAGCGGGUCAGGUUGCGCGAAAGUGUUUCCUAAUCUUGAAAUCCGCUCGUGAUGGGGAUUGACGGUUGCAAUUUUCCGUCAUGAACGAGGAAUACCUUGUAAGCGCGGGUCAUCAUCCCGCGCUGAAUACGUCCCUGCCCUUUGUACACACCGCCCGUCGCUCCUACCGAUUGAGUGGUCCGGUGAGGCUUUGGGAUCUGAGCGGAAAGAGCGUUUCGCUGUUUCUGCUCGGAAAACUCAGUCGAACCUUAUCAUUUAGAGGAAGGAGAUGUCGUAACA